rnacentral:rRNA from 1 species
UACAGAGGUCCCAAGCGUUGUUCGGAUUCAUUGGGCGUAAAGGGUGCGUAGGCGGCGCGGUAAGUCGGGUGUGAAAUCUCGGGGCUUAACUCCGAAACUGCAUUCGAUACUGCCGUGCUUGAGGACUGGAGAGGAGACUGGAAUUUACGGUGUAGCGGUGAAAAUGCGUAGAUAUCGUAAGGAAGACCAGUGGCGAAGGCGGGUCUCUGGACAGUUCCUGACGCUGAGGCACGAAGGUCAGGGGAGCAAACGGG